rnacentral:miRNA from 1 species
CACACAUGCUGCACACAGCACACCCAACACGCUGCACCCCUCACACACACAUGCUGUGUGCAGCAUGUGUGUGUGAGGGUCACAGUGUGUUGGGUGUGUUGUGUGCAGCGUGUGUGUGAGGGGUGCAGCGUGUUAGGUGUGCUGUGUGCAGCAUGUGU